GGGGACCCGACAAUGCGGAGCGGGUCGGGGGGGACGGAGAGACCCCCUCGUGGCCCCUCCCCCUCCCUGCCCGGCGCCGAGGGACGGGGAAUCGCAACUAGAAAGUCGAUCGAUUGGUACGAGGGCCCACGUGGUCCCAGGCUGGCCAAUGACCAGGCCGCCCGGGAUGAGCUAAUAAUGGCAGCAAUUUGUAACUUUCAGUGGCUCUCCUGGCCUGGCACGGGAGGGAGGGAGGCGGGCCGAGGCGGGGAGACCGGUACCCCAGCCCUUCCACCCACCUCACUCAUGCUGGGGUGCUCGGCUCCCCCGUUUCUCAUUUCCCCCUACACCCAGGCUGGGACCUGCGCCCACUUCUGUCUGGCAGCAGCGGCUCCAGAGCAAGAUUUGGAGACAGAUUAAAUUCCGAUUGAUUUACUUUUCUUGGGGGAUCAGUAGUACUUUUGGGUACAUUUUAUAUUCCUGAUGGCGAGAGGAGCUUGCUGCUUGUGAAUCCGACCCACCCCCCUCCACAAGUCCCAGCUUCAAGUUUUGAGUCACCCUCCCAUCAAGGAGUGGGAUACUUGAGUCAGCGACUGCACUUGGGGUUCUAAUUCUGGGACACCCUCUCUCCAGCCUCCACGCCAGCAAAAUCAGGGAAAGCAGAAUUUCUGUUGGACAUUUUGGUCUGGAACGGAGCUUUUCCAACUUGGUUCUAUUCUGGACAACUCUUUGUUACACAAAGUUGAAUUUUUAAUUCUCAUCAUUUGAUUCUCAUAAAUUCUAAGAAAAAUACAAGCAGAUUUUUUUUUCUCCCCUAAAUGGUGAAGGUGACAAGGAUUGGAAGACCCCAUCGGGAUCUGAUUCUGGCUUUGCAUGGACACAAAGGAAGAGAGAGCUCACUUGAGGGCUGGAUGACUGCUGGACAGUAAGGCUGGGUGUAGGAAAGAUUGGGGGUAAAAUCCUGCCUCUGGGGAAAUUCUUUAUAGCAUCACUGUGAAGUGAACCAUCAAAAUGGUGUGCUGUGGCUCCAGCCUGUUCAGAUUCCUUGCAGGUACUAAGACAAACUAAGAGAGUAAUCAGUUUUCUGAAGAUUCACCUCCUGUGACUUUGUCCUUCCUCGGAGGGAAACAGCACCCAAGUCAGCAGAAGUCAAGCUGCCACCACUGCUGCUCCCUCGUCCUCCGCGGCGGCGUCACAUUGACAUUCCGGGCACAUGCAGCCCAGCCCCCGUCCCUGCUUCUCCCAAGUAUGAAUCUAAAUUACUAUUAAUAAGGGGCCGCUCCAAGUUAAUUGGCAUUAAAAGAAUUCAUUUCAAUUUGUUAAUAUUAAAUGAACGCUCUGCUCUUUAGCUCCCUUCUUCUCCCUGGAUUCCCUGAUGAGUGAUGGGAAGUGGGGCGGGGGAGCAGAAUUGGGGUAUAUUUCUGACUCUCGGGUGUAGACACCGCGGUGCCUCCCCUGGGGUGGUGCGAUCAGGAGCUGUGGGGGCCUGAGUGGGGAAGGCUGAUGGUCUCUUCUG